rnacentral:rRNA from 1 species
UACGUAGGGGGCAAGCGUUGUCCGGAUUCAUUGGGCGUAAAGAGCGUGUAGGCGGCCAGGUAGGUCGGUUGUGAAAACUGGAGGCUCAACCUUCAGACGUCGACCGAAACCAUCUGGCUAGAGUCCGGGAGAGGAGAGUGGAAUUCCCAGUGUAGAGGUGAAAUUCGUAGAUAUUGGGAAGAACACCGGUGGCGAAGGCGGCGACCUGGUCCGUGACUGACGCUGAGGCGCGAAAGCGUGGGGAGCAAACAGG